CUCACCAGCCGUUCUUUCUCUCUCCCUUUUCUCUGGCCAUUUUCACGCUAGUUGCAGCUUUCCUCAGCCAUGGACAGGUUUUGUCCAUCCCAUUUCACGUAAGGUUUGUCUUUACAUCAGCUUACAUGUGCUUCAGUGUUCGAAGAGAGGAUUUUCCCGUUCCAUGCUUCAAGACACCUCAACUCCUUCUAAUUUCAAACCGAAUCUCACAUUUCGGGCAAUAUCUGAACAAAUCCCCUGAAAAAUCGUGAGUUCGGCCAAACUCCAAACGCUCGGAUUUCAAGCCCGUUGGCUCGAUUUCAAAAUCCCACCCAAGUCGAGCCCUAAACCUAAGCUUCUCCUAUAAAUACAACCUUAUAUCUUCAUCAUUGGACAAGCAAAUGGAGUCAUAAAUCGGGACUCUCUCAAAACGGAGUUUCAAAAUGAGACUCGGUGCUAUUACCAUACCCGUGCAUGGAGUCAAUACAUUCCAUAUUCUUUAACCACACCAGCCAGCAAGGAAACAAGCGAAAUCGCUUUGGGCCGCCUAUGGCGUCUUUAUUGUUUUCCCUUUUCCCCUUUCCUGCUCAUUCAUUUUAUUUCACCCCUUUUAUGAUUGCAGAUACUUGCGUUGUGGAUUUGUCUUUGGUUGGAAAUUGUAUGUGGAACUUAUGAUUCACAUAGAAUUAUAAUGGGUAGUUUUUAUCAUUUAGGAUUGCCGCUCUAAAUCUUAAGUGCUUAUUUUUACCAUAUAGAGUGCAGCACUUAUUUUCAUACAGAUUUAAAAUCAUGAAUAAUCUUGUUAGGAUAGUUAUUAACUUGGCUUUUUGCUAAAUGUUUGAAGCACUAUUUUACUGAAUAAAUGAAGCUCAUCUUUUAACUUGUGUAUUCCCUCAAAUUUUAUUUAACUUUAUGUUAAAUCAUAGCUUUGGAACAUAUGAAUUUAAACUUCCAUUUUUUUAUAAUUCUGACAUUUUAUUUAAAGGAUAAGAACUUACGUGAAAACUUUGCCCAUAUUUUGAGUCAACAACUUUUCUUUCAAAAUCAUUGGAUUGGAUAAUAUUUCGAAUGGUUAAAUAUUUUUAGAAAUCAUGACGGCUCAUUUUU